GACCCAUGUGGUCUGGUGUGAUUCAAUUCCUGCUACAGGAAGAUCAAACUCUCUCAGUGAAGCCACCAGCACCCAUCAGAGACUUUGUCAUGAACCAAGAGUUACUGUAUUACACAGCUGAGUUGGACACUCCUAGCAAAAGAGUAAACCACUUAGUAAUUCCACAGUCACUAGUGAAUGUAACCUUACAGUUAGUUCACGAUGUACCAGGUGUUGCACACCCUGGUAUGGAUCCUUCUGUAAAACAAGCCAGAUUGAAAUACUUUUGGCCUCGUAUGGCAACUGAUAUUUCUGAGUAUGUUAAGAAAUGUAAUGUCUAUAUACAAAAUAAAGGUAAUAUUAGUGGUCCUAAUCCAAUCCAGGUGUAUCCCACUACUAGCGAACCUUGGGAAAGAGUUCCCUUAGAUUUGUUAACUAAUUUCCAAUGUUCUCUCCAGGGCAACAAACAUUUUUGUGUUAUGGUAGGCCAGUUCACCAGAUAUUGUGAGUUAGUUCCUGUUGCAGAUAAGACUGCCGAGACAGUAGCUAAAGCAAUUAAGGAAUGUACAAUCUUCAGGCAUACCACUCCCAAGUUCCUAGUAACAGAUAAUGGAGGUGAAUUCUGUAAUGAGAUUCUUGAAAGUUGUGUACUGUGUAGAAGAUCUCUAAAUCGACCAUUGUUCCUCACCAUCCUGCCAGUAAUGGUUUAGCAGAAAGAACUAAUAAGAAAGUACUCGAUGUAUUGAGAGUCACUCUUAAUCCCAAUGGUGCAUCCUGGGAUGAAGUUAUACCUGACGUUCGGUGUGCCAUAAAUUCUGCUUACAAUGCUUUUAUAGGUGACACUCCACAUUAUGCACUGUAUGGUGUAGAUAAGUACUUACCAUAUGAGUUGUUAUAUUCUAAUCCGAAACCAAAUUACAAUCCUGAUGACUUCAUAGUGUUACACCUGGUCAACUUAUGCAUUACUUCGAGCCGAUAUCACUUAAUAUCAUAUUGCAAACCUGGUUGUUAAUAGCUAAAAUGAGCAAGUUCGACUGUAUAAUAUUAUCUGGGGCCUCAUAUGAGUUACCAGAUAGAAUCAUGUAAAUUUAUGCUUAUAGUAAAAUUAUUUAGAUUGCGUGUAACAAUGUGAUAUGUGAAGCACUUGUGUAACAACCAGUCUCUGGUUAACAUUUUCACCCUCUAAGCAUAUGUCACGUGACCUACCUUAUGUCAGGUCACCCCUCCCCCACUACAGUCAGUAGCAGCCGAUCUACAGCUCAAGUGCAUGGCUUGGAAGUCCUCUGUUGUAAUAGCCAUAUUCCCUUAUAUUAUACUUAAGGUGCUCGUGGGGAACUUAUCUGUACAUUACGUCAAAUAUCAACUAUCUGUUAUAUUCACCGGUGAUCUGAAAACCUCCGGGUUAUAACUAGUAACUUUAUUCAUGUGACUGUUAAUGAAACAUUAAGGUCCUGUGCGUAGUUAUUACUAAAUAUAAUUGUGCAUUCAUAAUAUAUGAGAAAAAAGCUUAAUAUUUUAUUGAUAUGUUGUAAGGAAAAAUAUAUUAAAGGCCAUAAAUUUUUAUGUGAUUUUUUGACUCCCUAUAAAAGUAGUUGGAACUUAAUCAAUUUAUUGUACUUUGACAUCCUGUGAAGUGAAAAGAAGGAUAAGAGAGUAAUGAUAGCGACUCACAGCAGUUUAGCUCAAGGUGUCUUCAGAAGAAUCUGAGAAACGCUUCUUAAAUCAUCAGCAGAAUUUACAAGAGCAACUAACACUCAAGCAAAAUCAACCAAAAUUAAAGUUUUGUCUCGCUGACUCCUCUUUCUCCCUUCCCUUCUUUCCCUUUCUGGCAGGAGGAAAAGAGAAGGUGGAGAAGAAGAAGAGAGAGGAAGAGGAGGAGAAAGAUCAAGAAGAAUAGGAAGAGAACUCUCAGGAAGAGAGAGAGGAUCCCGCUAAAUAAGCUGAGUGCACCGAGAGAUCAAAGACAUCGAAGUAUUCUCUUUAGCAGACGCAAAACCCGAGGCAAAAGCAUACUUAGGAUGAUGACCAGAGGAAAAUAACACACUGGUUUCUUUACACCUCUGACAUCCACUGUACCCUACCAGACAGGAUGUCUGGGUGACAGACGGUGCCUGUGUACUCAGGAGAAAAGACAUCACACUACCUGACUCUGAGAAAACGUUCCUUCAUUCCUCCUGUUGAUACUCUUUCAACAUUGGAUAGCUCCUGACGAAACACGUAGACAUGUGAAAGUACCCGAGAUGAAGAUUUCCAUCCCCAAUGCUAAUAUUUUGUUUAUUUAUAGUCAAUUUAUUCUCUCAAAUGUAAUUUAAAAAAAAUAUAUAACAUUUUCCAUACCCCCUUCCCCCCUUCCCUCGAGGCCCACUCUCCUUAUUUCGACUCCCUGGUAAUAUAUGGACAGUGUUCUAAAGUUUUGUUGCAUAAAUAACACUAAUUGCAUAUAUAUAUCUAACUUUUAGCCGAACUAAUUAAAAAUCACAUUGCCCAGGAAAUUUAAUAAGUAUUUAUUUCUAACUUCUGAUUUUCAAUGAGCAGCGAAAGAAUAUUUCUUCUGGAGGUUUGUAAUGAUUUGCUAAAUGAA